rnacentral:tRNA from 1 species
GGAGGAGUAGCGAAGUGGCUAAACGCGACGGACUGUAAAUCCGUUCCUUAGGGUUCAUUGGUUCGAAUCCACUCUCCUCCA